GCACGGAAGCAGGCUGUUGCGUCCCUUGUUGUACUGUUAGAGCGGGCUCUGCCCUGGUGAAUUCUACUCACAUGGAAGUUAAUUCCAAAGUUUCAUUUUUUAAACAUGAUGAUUAAAAAGAAGCUUUUGACUCAGGUUUAGAGAUAGGGAACUCACUUCUUAAGGUGAUUUCAGUGCAGAGGAAUAUGAAGACCGCUCAGGGCCAUGACCUUGCCUCCUUUCCUGGAGUUCGGUGUCCCGUUCCCAGCCCACCUCAGAGCCUGGACGGUGGAGAGGAAGCGCCCAGGCAGGCUUUUACGAACUGACCGGCAGCCACUCAGGGAAUAUAAACUAGGACGGAGAAUUGAGAUCUGCUUAGAGCCCCUUCAGAAAGGCGAAAACUUGGGCCCCCAGGACGUGCUGCUGAGGACACAGGUGCGCAUCCCUGGUGAGAGGACCUACACCCCUGCCCUGGACCUGGUGUGGAACGUGGCCCAGGGUGGGACUGCCGGCUCCCUGAGGCAGAGAGUUGCCGAUUUCUAUUGUCUUCCCGUGGAGAAGAUUGAAAUUGCCAAAUACUUUCCCGAAAAGUUCGAGUGGCUUCCGAUAUCUAGCUGGAACCAACAAAUAACCAAGAGGAAAAAGAAAAAAAAACAAGAUUAUUUGCAAGGGGCACCGU
rnacentral:sRNA from 1 species